rnacentral:misc_RNA from 1 species
UAGUAGAAGAAGAAGAACACGUUGAAGAAUGAACGAACUUGUGAUCUCGUUGGAAGAUUUGAACGCUACUUGGUUAUCGACAUAGAGCUUCUUGACGUUAUCUGGCAAAUAUUGCACCAGUCUUGGCGGAAUUUCACGUGACAAAAGGUUUGCAGUUCUUUCCACUAUUAGUAGUCCAACGACAUACGCAGAGAUGAAGUGCUG